ensembl:lncRNA
AUUAGUAGACCAGACACAGCUGAGGAGAGACUCUGUGCUUGACGCUCUCUCGGUAGAAACUUCCAAAACCUUAUCUGUAGAAGAACAAAGAUAAGAAUUACAUCUGACUUCUCAGAAACCAUGCAAGCAAGAAGAGGAGUAAAAUAUUGAAAGUGUUGAGAGAAAAUAACCACCAACCUAGGAUUCUGUAACCUGAGAAAUCAUCCUUCAAAAGUGAAUGAGAAAUUACGACCUUCUCAGACAAAACAAUUGAGGGAAUUAGUUGCCAGUAGAUCUACCUUGCAAGAAAUGUUGAAAGAAGUUCUUUACAGAGAAGGAAUGUAAUAUAGGGCAUAAACUUGGAUCUACAUAAAAAAGGGAAGAAAAUUGAAGAAGGAAUAAAUGAAGGUAAAUACCAAGAAGUAGAAUUGCUAGAUAAUAUGCCCCCAGGUACAUAGCUGUGUAUUCUUAGUUGUGGGUCCUUCUAGUUGUGGCACGUGGGACGCUGCCUCAGCAUGGCUUGACGAGCGGCACCAUGUCUGUGCCCAGGAGCGAAACCGACAAAACCCUGGGCCGCCUGCAGCAAAGUGUGCGAACUUAACCACUCAGCCACGGGGCCGGCCCUGGUGUCAAGGUAAUCUUGACAUCAUAAAAUGAGUCAAGAAGCAUGCCCUCCUCUUCAUUUUUUCAGAAGAAUUUGAGAAGGACUGGUACUAAAUCUUCUUUGAAUGUUUGGUAAAAUUCACCAGAGAAGCCAUGUGGUCCUGGACUUUUGUCUUUGGAGGUGUUUGAUUACUUUUUCAAUCUCCUUACUAGUGAUAGGUCUAAUCAGAUUCUCUAUUUCUUCUUGAUUCAGUUUUGGAAGGUUUCUGUUUCUUCUAGAUUAUCCAAUUUGCUUGCAUAUAGCUUUUCAUAGUAUUCUCUUAUAGUUCUUUGUAUUUCUGUGGUAUCCAUUGUAAUUUCUCCUCUUUUGUUUCCAAUUUUAUUUAUUUGAACCUUCUCUUUUUUUUCUUAGUGAGUCUAACUAAAGGUUUGUCAAUUUUCUUUAUCUUAUUAAAUAACCAGUUCUUCAUUCCAUUGAUCUUUUCUAUUGUUUUUUUAGUCUCUCUUUCAUUUAUUUCUGCUCUGGUUUUUAUUAUUUCCUUCCUUCUACUGACUUUGGGAUUCAUUUCUUCUUUUUCUGUUCCUUUAGGUGUAAUGUUAGAUUAUUUAUUUGAGAUCUUUCUAAUUUCUUAAUAUAUGAAUUUACUGCUAUAGACUUUCCUCUCAGUAAUGCUUUUGCUGCCUCCUUUAAGUUUUGAUAUGUUGUAUUUCCCUUUUUAUUUGUUUUGAGAUAACUUUUUAUUUCCCUUUUGAUUUCUUCUCUGACCCAUUGGUUGUUUAGAAGUGUGUUAUAUAGCUUCCACAUAUUUGUGGAUCUCCUCACUUUCCUCUUGUUGAUUUCUAGUUUCAUACUGUUGUGGUCAGAAAAGAUAGUGGGUAUGAUUUCAAUCUAUUUACAUUUCCUGAGAUCUGUUUUGUGUCCUGUCGUAUCAUCUAUCCUGGUGAAUGUUCUGUGUGCACUUGAGAAGAAUGUAUAUUCUGCUGCUGUUGGAUAGAAUAUUCAAUAUAUAUCUUUUAAAUCCAUUUGGUUUAAAGUAUGGUUCCAUUCUAACAUUUCCUUGUUGAUUUUCUGUCUGGAUGAUCUAUCUAUUGAUGAUAAUGGAGUACUGAAGCCCCCUAUUAAUAUUGUAUUGUUGUCUAUUUCUCCCUUUAGAUCUGUUAGUAUUUUUUCAAUAUAUUUUGGUGCUCUGAUGUUGGGUGUGUAUGUAUUUAUGACUGUUACAUCUUCUUGUUGUAUUGACCCUUUUAUCAUUUAUAAUAUCCUUCUUUGUCUCUUGUCAUUAUUUUUGGCUUGAAGCAUACUUUUUCAGCUGUAAGUAUGGCUAUCCCUGCUUUCUUUUGGUUUCUACUUACAUGGAGUAUGUUUUUCUAUCGCUU